rnacentral:rRNA from 1 species
AGAGUUUGAUCAUGGCUCAGGAUGAACGCUGGCGGCGUGCUUAACACAUGCAAGUCGAACGAGAAGCCCGGGCUUGCCCGGGUGGACAGUGGCGAACGGGUGAGUAACACGUGAGGAACCUGCCCCGAAGACCGGGACAACAUCGGGAAACCGUUGCUAAUACCGGAUGCCCUCGAAGAAUCGCAUGGUUCAUCGAGGAAAUGGAUUCCGCUUCGGGAUGGCCUCGCGGCCUAUCAGCUUGUUGGUGAGGUAAUGGCUCACCAAGGCUUCGACGGGUAGCUGGUCUGAGAGGAUGUCCAGCCACACUGGGACUGAGACACGGCCCAGACUCCUACGGGAGGCAGCAGUGGGGAAUAUUGCACAAUGGGCGCAAGCCUGAUGCAGCGACGCCGCGUGAGGGAUGACGGCCUUCGGGUUGUAAACCUCUUUCAGUACCGACGAAGCGGAAGUGACGGUAGGUACAGAAGAAGCACCGGCCAACUACGUGCCAGCAGCCGCGGUAAUAC